rnacentral:rRNA from 1 species
GACGAACGCUGGCGGCGUGCUUAACACAUGCAAGUCGAACGGAAAGGCCCUGCUUUUGUGGGGUGCUCGAGUGGCGAACGGGUGAGUAACACGUGAGUAACCUGCCCUUGACUUUGGGAUAACUUCAGGAAACUGGGGCUAAUACCGGAUAGGAGCUCCUGCUGCAUGGUGGGGGUUGGAAAGUUUCGGCGGUUGGGGAUGGACUCGCGGCUUAUCAGCUUGUUGGAGGGGUAGUGGCUUACCAAGGCUUUGACGGGUAGCCGGCCUGAGAGGGUGACCGGCCACAUUGGGACUGAGAUACGGCGCAGACUCCUACGGGAGGCAGCAGUGGGGAAUAUUGCACAAUGGGCGGAAGCCUGAUGCAGCAACGCCGCGUGCGGGAUGACGGCCUUCGGGUUGUAAACCGCUUUCGCCUGUGACGAAGCGUGAGUGACGGUAAUGGGUAAAGAAGCACCGGCUAACUACGUG